rnacentral:rRNA from 1 species
UGGUGGAGUGAUUUGUCUGCUUAAUUGCGAUAACGAACGAGACCUUAUUCUGCUAACUAGUUACACAAACCUCGGUUUGUGGACAACUUCUUAGAGAGACUUUUGUGUGUUGAACCAAAGGAAGUUUGAGGCUAUAGCA